UCCCCGGGCUUAACCUGGGAACUGCAUGUGAUACUGGUGGUGCUAGAAUAUGUGAGAGGGAAGUAGAAUUCCAGGUGUAGCGGUGAAAUGCGUAGAGAUCUGGAGGAAUACCGAUGGCGAAGGCAGCUUCCUGGCAUAAUAUUGACACUGAGAUUCGAAAGCGUGGGUAGCAAACAGGAUUAGAUACCCUGGUAGUCCACGCCGUAAACGAUGUCUACUAGCCGUUGGGGUCCUUGAGACUUUAGUGGCGCAGUUAACGCGAUAAGUAGACCGCCUGGGG
rnacentral:rRNA from 1 species